rnacentral:rRNA from 1 species
CCCGAGUGUAGAGGGGAAAAUUCUUAGCUAUUUGGGGGAGCACCCGGUGGCGAAGGCGGCUCACUGGCCCUGAUAUUGACGCUGAGGGGCGAAAAGCGUGGGGAGCAAACAGGAUUAGAGACCCUCGUAGUCCACACCGUAAACGAUGAGUGCUAUCUGUUGGGUGGUUUACCAUUCAGUGGCGCAGCUAACGCAUUAAGCACUCCGCCUGGGGAGUACGGUCGCAAGAUUAAAACUCAAAGGAAUUGACGGGGGCCCGCACAAGCGGUGGAGCACGUGGUUUAAUUCGAUGCAACGCGCAGAGCCUUACCAGCCCUUGACAUGUAUAGGACGAUAUCAGAGAUGGUAUUUUCUUUUCGGAGACCUUUACACAGGUGCUGCAUGGCAGUCGUCAGCUCGUGUCGUGAGAUGUUGGGUUAAGUCCCGCAACGAGCGCACCCCCUGCCUCUAGUUGCCAU